CCUACGGGUGACAGCAGUGGGGAAUAUUGGGCAAUGGGCGCAAGCCUGACCCAGCAACGCCGCGUGAAGGAAGAAGGCUUUCGGGUUGUAAACUUCUUUUGACAGGGAAGAGCAGAAGACGGUACCUGUCGUAUCAGCCACGCCUAACGACGUGCCAGCAGCCGCGGUCAUACGGAGGUCGCAAGCGUUGUUCGGAUUUACUGGGUGUAACGGGCGUGUAGCCGGGCUGACAAGUCCGAGGUGAAAUCCGGGGGCUCAACCCCCGAACUGCAGUUGAAACUGUUGGUCUUGAGUAUCGGAGAGGCAGGCGGAAUUCCUAGUGUAGCGGUGAAAUGCGUAGAUAUUAGGAGGAACUCCAGUGGCGAAGGCGGCCUGCUGGACGACAACUGACGGUGAGGCGCGAAAGCGUGGGGAGCGAACAGGAUUAGAUACCCGGGUAGUC
rnacentral:rRNA from 1 species